rnacentral:rRNA from 1 species
UACGAAGGGGGCUAGCGUUGUUCGGAAUUACUGGGCGUAAAGGGCGCGUAGGCGGUACUUCAAGUCAGGCGUGAAAGCCCCGGGCUCAACCUGGGAACCGCGCUUGAGACUGGAGAACUAGAGUUCGGGAGAGGAUGGUGGAAUUCCCAGUGUAGAGGUGAAAUGCGUAGAUAUCUGGAGGAAUACCGGUGGCGAAGGCGGCAUCCUGGACCGACAUUGACGCUGAACGGCGAAAGCUAGGGGAGCAAACGGG